rnacentral:misc_RNA from 1 species
AAGUCGUAACAAGGUUUCCGUAGGUGAACCUGCGGAAGGAUCAUUACCAAAUCCAAUAACAAACCACUGUGAACUGUAUCCAUGUCUUUGGGGGUAGAACGAUGUCUGUGCAAACAGUCAUUGGUCUCCCCCAAAAGGAACAACACACACCUUCGGGUUGUGCGUUUUCCUCUAUUGAACACCUUCAAACUUUGAUGGAUUGUUUUUCAAACGAUUAACAAAGACAACUUUUAACGGUGGAUCUCUUGGCUCGU